rnacentral:lncRNA from 1 species
AAGAAAAUAAUACAAGCAUUUUAUUAUAACAUUUUAAGCAAACAAAAUAAUCACACAAUCAAUAUUUACUUUACCAAUUUUUACUCUUAUGCACUGUUAAAUAACUAAAAAAUAAAAGCUAUAAAUAAAAAAAACUUCAUAUCACUGUGACAGAGAGACAUGAAUACGAAAUCAUGGAGAAAAAUUACUAGGUGAAAUAUCAAUAAUAUUGCUUCAGAUAAAACAAAAUUAAGCUUUACAAAAUUCAGAAAAACAGUAAUCAAUGACCUAUACAUCCACCUACUCAAAAAAGGAAAAUCCUAUUAACACCAAAAAGUGGUUAAGCAUAUAAAAUUUUCAAUAAAAUAGAAUUAUAAUAAAAAUUCAUCAUCUGUUAACUAGUUGAUCAUAGUCCGAAUCAGUGAGAAAAUAGUAAAAUAAUUCACCAUAAUUAAAAAAUAUUAAUUUACUCAAAAAUGCUACAAAAUAUUGAAAAAAUAAGUGAAGCAAUGAGUUUAAAUGAAGAAAUAAGUUCUUUAAUUAGUUCAAAUAAAAAAAUGCAUUCAAAUUAAAGGAAAAAAUUACAAUUUACUCAGAUUGCCUUCGUGUGGGCAUACGCGCGGAUGGGGUUAAGGAUCGCAACUUUAGAACUCCAGCCGAAAGUGGAGGAAGAGAACGUACGGAUGGCCGCACAACACGAGUUCGUCGAAGAAUCAGCUAAGGAUGAAAGAAGAGAGAGAGGAAGUAGAGAUGAAGAAAAAGAGGAGGGAGCAGAGGGAACCCUAGAGGAAUAGAGGGAAAGAGAGAAAAAGUAGGAAAAAAAGGGAAGUGAAGUUAUCAUCACUUUUUUUCCUAAAUUUUAU